UAAAUAAGCGGAGGAAAAGAAACUAACUAGGAUUGGUCCAGUAACGGCGAGUGAAGCCCCAAUAGCCCACCUUGUGAAUCGUCAUUUUAUGUCGAAUUGUGGUUGCCUUUUUGUUCAGCUAGUGGAUCAAGUCCCCUGGAAUGGGGCAGCUGAGAGGGUGAGACUCCCGUCCAUCUACAAGCAUGAGAAUUGGCACAGGAGUCGAGUUGUUUGGGAUUGCAGCUCUAAUGGGUGGUAAAUUCCAUCCAAGGCUAAAUACCAGUGAGAGACCGAUAGCGUACAAGUACCGUGAGGGAAAGAUGCAAAGCCGCGCGAAAGCGCUGUCAAAGAGUACCUGAACUUGCUGAAACGGAAGCGAAGGAAAUCAGUGCCAACCAAACUGCACUUCCCCAACUGCUUGCAGUUAGGGCGCUGCGGCUGGUAUUGUUCCGAUUGGCGAUGUGUGGCGGAAAAGGACAUCGCGUUGGAUGUUGUUGAUUGGAACAAAAUGAUUUUCUUCUUCCCG
rnacentral:rRNA from 1 species